rnacentral:rRNA from 1 species
ACGGAAGGCAGCAGUGGGGAAUAUUGGACAAUGGGGGAAACCCUGAUCCAGCGACGCCGCGUGAGUGAAGAAGUAUUUCGGUAUGUAAAGCUCUAUCAGCAGGGAAGAUCAUGACGGUACCUGACUAAGAAUCCCCGGCUAACUACGUGCCAGCAGCCGCGGUAAUACGUAGGGGGCAAGCGUUAUCCGGAUGUACUGGGUGUAAAGGGAGCGUAGACGGCAAGGCAAGUCUGAUGUGAAAACCCAGGGCUCAACCGUGGGACUGCAUUGGAAACUGUCUAGCUAGAGUGCAGGAGAGGUAAGUGGAAUUCCUAGUGUAGCGGUGAAAUGCGUAGAUAUUAGGAGGAACACCAGUGGCGAAGGCGGCUUACUGGACUGUAACUGACGUUGAGGCUCGAAAGCGUGGGGAGCAAACAGUAUUAGAUACCCUGGUA